rnacentral:lncRNA from 1 species
GUACAUCCAUCAAGUCAUUAUAGUGGUCUUUGUUGGGUUGAUAACAUGAAAAAGAAUCAUGAUAUGAAAUGCUUCUGAGUUCUGAAUUUGAAAUGUGUACCUCUUAUUAUUUUGAAUUUAUAUGUUCUGCAUUUCUGCUGCAGUUAAAAUGAUGAACCCAAUUGUUUUAUUCCGGUCUGCAUCAUCACGCUCGUCGUCUUCUAGGUUCUUUCAUGCUGCUCCCAGUUCAGGAUAUGAUGGUUAUGAAAGCAGCAGUGACUAUUCCCAGGAAUCCUGCAUGAUAUCAGGGAGCCACCAAUCAACAUUGGAUAGGUUAUAUGAAUGGGAGAAGAAAUUAUAUGAGGAGGUUAAGGUAAUCGUUUUCGGCAAGCAGACUUUUGGUUCCAACUAACUAGUGGCAAAGAGUAAAUGCAUUUUAGUGUAAUUCGUAACAAUGUGUCAUGUUGCUGCAGGCUGGAGAGCGGAUAAGAAUUGCAUUUGAGAAGAAAUACAUGCAACUGAGGAACCAAGAUGUGCAUGGUGAAGAGCCUUCUGCUGUUGAAAAAACAAGAGCAGUCGUAAGAGAUCUGCAUACCCGAUUAAAAGUUUCUAUACAUUCAGUUGAGUCAGUGUCAAAAAGAAUAGAAACUUUGCGGGAUGAGGAAUUGCAUCCGCAGCUGAUCGAGCUACUACAAGGGUAUGCUCUAAAAUUUUACUUUAUCUAUUUGAUAAAAUAGUUUAGUAAAGCAUAUGUAUUUUUUCAUGUUAGACCAUUGUCAUUUAGACUAGUAUGACCAAGAAGAUGAUUUAGCCAUUUGGAUGAUUAGACAUCAGAAUAUAUUUAUGUUAGAAGUACUUAAAGGGUAUUUCCAGAGUCCUGUUAGGAACACCAUCUCUUUUUUCUUUAUUUUCUUCAAGCAGAAAAAUUAUGAGUCCUUUAUUUCCAGAGUCCUGUAUUUCCAGGGUCUCCUUAUAGGUCUUUUUGCCGACCCUUCAAUAAAGGUAGCCUUGACCUCUCAAGUUUCCUUUACAUCAUUCCAUAACUUCUCUCCAGAUAAGGAGACCCUGAACUAUCUUUUCCUAAAUUUGGAAGAUAAUUAAUUUCUCAGAGAACUACUCUCAUUCUAUCAUGUCCUCCCAAAUGGCUAGAAUAAGAUUCAGAUUAAUAUCAAAAGAGUGCAAACUAGGAACAUGUUGUCAUUCUAAUAUUACAAGUGAUCAUUGGAUCAUUUACCAGCAAAUGACUACUUUGUUUGAAAUGAAGAAGAAAACUUUCAUUGCAUGAACAUGUAAGGCUAAUUUUUACUCUUAUCUUGCUCUGUCCAUCUAUAAAUCUGUGCUUAUUGAUGAGUAUGCAAUUCCCAGAAUUAAAAUGCUACAAUCAUUUGAAUAAUGGUAACUUCUAAAAAUAUAGUAGAAAACACAUCUUUCUGUCCUUUGCAUGUCCUCGAGUGGCUUAUUUUCUAAAGAGCACCACCAUUUUCAUAUUUUUGCCUUAACUGAAGUGAUGCUCAUAUGCUAUGAAAACUCAUCAUGUCAUGUCUGGGCCCUUGAUUCUUCAAACAACACGCACAGUAUAAUAUCACAAGAUAGAAUUCUUGGACAAUUAUGGUGCGUAAGUCAAUGUAGAUAUAGGCUAAACAUGCUCCUAUGAAGAUUUAGAAUUUGGAACCUACACAUAGGUAAGGUUUCAAGCAUUGAUAUGACAAGCUAUCAAACACAUUCAUAUUGUGUGCACUAAAACAGAUUUUUUCACAUCUCAAUGGUCUAUAGCAUAGAGAACAAAGAACAUGCAUGUUCCACAAUGAAUAAUAUGAUACUCCACCUCACUUUACCCUUGUACAUGCAUAUCAUCAACAGUCAAACUAUAAAAAGGCUUUAUAAAGAAGGUUCAGUUGAUUCCUUUCGAUAACAUAGUUUAGUCAAUAUAAAGCCAUUGGACAGUAAUCGAAGUAAUGAUAGCAUGCAUUAAGCUGAUGACAUAGUCUAAUGAUGUGCAGCAGACAAGGAACUAGAAAUAAAUGAACUAAUUGUCGAUCAAUUCGCCAGUAUUUGGACCAUGUGUAUCAGGCAGUCAAACAGUAUGGCAUAGCUUUUUCAUGAAGGUACAGUUUGAUUCCUUCCAGUGAUGCAACUUAAUCACUAUAAAGCUGCUGGUAAGAGUAAUGGAAGUAAUGAUACCAUGCGUUCAGCUGAUGCUCUGCUCCACUCCAAAGUAAAAGCUCUCACUUUUUUAUCUGCUCUAAUUAUAACAUGCAGAUAAGAUCUGCGACCUCAUGUUAUUUUUUAAUCCUUAUUUUCUUUGUGAUUUACAUCUAGCAUUCAUUAUAUAAUGUAAAAUUGCAUCAUUCAAUAAAAAUAAAAUUUUGUAGUUGAUUCUUGAAAAGCAUAGGCAGGAAGAUGGUGGGCACUUCUUUCUUUAUUUUGUUACCUGCUUGAUGCUGGUGAGCGGUUGUCCGUUGGAUCAAAAAGGCAUUGAAUCACGUCCGUUCAACUUGCUACCUUUGCCCCGCGGUGCAGGUUAGCGAAGAUGUGGAGGACGACCGCGGACUGUCACCGGAUCCAGAAGCGCACGAUAGACGAGGCCAAGCUCCUG